rnacentral:snoRNA from 1 species
ACCCUAUUUAAGGCACUCAUUGAGCCUUUGAAUAGGACCCACCAAACUGUCAGAAAGUGCAUGGUAAAAGACACCUCUUUUAGGGUGAAGUAGUGGCAUGUUGUGUUGUUUGGCUUCAGUUAGCAGUAUAACAAGG